UAUUCUGCCCCAUGGGGAAGGAUGAGAAGCUUCGACUAAGGUUCGACUCGAGCGAAGCGAGAGAACGUUGCCGCAGGCAAUGGCCCGAAGGGCGAGGCGCUUUAGCGCCGAGUAAUCCUUCCCCCACCACUU
rnacentral:sRNA from 1 species